rnacentral:lncRNA from 1 species
AUAGUACUGAAUAGCCUGUAAUCUUGAUUACUAGUUCUUGGGCCUUUAUGAAUUAGAGAUUCAUGUGCACAGUGCAUUAAAGGUGAGAUAAAUGUUACUUUUGUUGUUAUGAGAAUGUAACGUGUGGGUUUAAUAGUUUUCUUUCAUCUUUAAUGUAUCAGGAAGAACUAUUGAAAGCCAUUGCCUGUGUAGUGACGGCUUCCAGGUAAAUCUUCUUUUAAUGAACGUAUCAUUUCCUAAAAUGAAACUUAAAGUUGUAGCUUUCCUAACUACGCUGAUGUUUUUGGUUGAAUCCUAUAGUACAGAGUUGGAAAAGUCUGUGCCCAAUCAACCCACCACAAAUGAAAUUCUUCAGGCUGUCCUGAAGGAGUGUUGCAAAGAGAAUCUGAAAUAUAAGAUUGUUGCAAUCAGCUGUGCAGCUGAUGUUCUGAAAGCCACCAAAGAAGACAGGUUCCAGGAGUUUU